GAUGAACGCUAGCGGGAGGCCUAACACAUGCCAGCCGAGCGGUAUUGUUUCUUCGGACAUGAGAGAGCGGCGUACGGGUGCGUAACACGUGUGCAACCUGCCUUUAUCUGGGGGAUAGCCUUUCGAAAGGAAGAUUAAUACUCCAUAAUAUAUUGAACGGCAUCGUUUAAUAUUGAAAGCUCCGGCGGAUAGAGAUGGGCACGCGCAAGAUUAGCUAGUUGGUGAGGUAACGGCUCACCAAGGCGAUGAUCUUUAGGGGGCCUGAGAGGGUGAUCCCCCACACUGGUACUGAGACACGGACCAGACUCCUACGGGAGGCAGCAGUGAGGAAUAUUGGUCAAUGGGUGCAAGCCUGAACCAGCCAUCCCGCGUGAAGGACGACUGCCCUAUGGGUUGUAAACUUCUUUUGGAUAGGGAUAAACCUACCCUCGUGAGGGUAGCUGAAGGUACUAUACGAAUAAGCACCGGCUAACUCCGUG
rnacentral:rRNA from 1 species